rnacentral:rRNA from 5 species
AACGACUCUCGGCAACGGAUAUCUCGGCUCUCGCAUCGAUGAAGAACGCAGCAAAAUGCGAUACUUGGUGUGAAUUGCAGAAUCCCGUGAAUCAUCGAGUUUUUGAACGCAAGUUGCGCCCGAAGCCUUUCGGCCGAGGGCACGUCUGCCUGGGUGUCACGC